UUGGGCGUAAGGGCGUGUAGGCGGGGGGCCAAGUCCGAUGUGAAAACCCUGGGCUUAACCGAGGGAUUGCAUUGGAAACUGGUCUUCUUGAGUGCAGGAGAGGGGAGCGGAAUUCCCAGUGUAGCGGUGAAAUGCGUAGAGAUUGGGAGGAACACCAGUGGCGAAGGCGGCUCUCUGGACUGUAACUGACGCUGAGGCGCGAAAGCUGGGGGAGCGAACGGGAUUAGAUACCCCGGUAGUCCCAGCCGUAAACGAUGAGCACUAGGUGUGGGAGGUAUCGACGCCUUCCGUGCCGGAGUUAACGCAAUAAGUGCUCCGCCUGGGGAGUACGGCCGCAAGGCUGAAACUCAAAGGAAUUGACGGGGGCCCGCACAAGCAGUGGAGCAUGUGGUUUAAUUCGAAGCAACGCGAAGAACCUUACCAGGGCUUGACAUCUGGCGGAUCCUGUGGAAACACGGGGGUGCCCUCCUAGAGGGGGAACGCCAAGACAGGUGGUGCAUGGUUGUCGUCAGCUCGUGUCGUGAGAUGUUGGGUUAAGUCCCGCAACGAGCGCAACCCUUGUUCGUAGUUGCCAGCACGUGACGGUGGGCACUCUACGGAGACUGCCGCAGAGAAUGCGGAGGAAGGUG
rnacentral:rRNA from 1 species